rnacentral:lncRNA from 1 species
CCGUGUUGGUCCCCUGAUCCUCGCUUCUCUCUGAAUUCUUGUGUCUCGUUUCUCAUUCUCUCACCUCAUCGCACUUUCGGAAACCCUGCUUGUCUAGCUGGUCUCAACAAUACAUACCACAUCUUCUUUAUCCAUUCAUCUGUGAAUGGAUACUUAGGUUGCUUCUAUGUCUUGGCUAUCAUAAAUAAUGCUGCUGUGAACAUUGGGGCUUCCCUGGUGGCUCUGUUGGUAAAGAAUCCUCCUGCAAUACAGUAGACCUGGGUUCAGUCCCUGGGUCUGGAAAAAUCCCUGAAGAAGGAAAUGGCAACCCACCCCAGUAUUCUUGCCUGGAAAACCCCAUGGAUGGAGAAGCCUGGUGGGCUACAGUCCAUAGAGUCGCAAAGAGUUGGACACGACUGAGCGACUUCACUUUAGCAACUAAACCACCACCGCCGUACUGUUUUCCAUAGUGGCUGCACCAGUUUACAUUUCCACCAGCACUGUAGGAGGGAUCCCCUUUCUCCACACCCUUUUCAGCAUUUACUAUUUAUAGACCUUUUAAUGAUGGUCAGCUUCCCUGGUGGCUCAGAUGGUAAAAGAAUCUGCCUGCAAUGCAGGAGACCCACAUUCAGUCCCUGGAUUGGGAAGAUCCCCUGGAGAAGGGAAUGGCAACCCAUCCCAGUACUCUUGCCUGGAGAAUUCCAUGGACAGAGGGCUACCUGAUGGGCUACAGUCCACGGGAUCACAAAAGAAUUGGACACGACUGAGCGACUAUCACACAUGUAUAAUACACAUAUUUUGACUGGUGCGAGGUGAUACCUCAUUGUGGUUUUGAUUUACAUUUCUCUAACAAUUAAUGAUAUUGAGUAUCUUUUCAUAAGCUGUUUGGCCAUCUGUAUGUCUUUGGAGUAGUAUCUAUUUAGAUCCUCUGCCCAUUUUUUUAUCUUUUUUUUUUUUUCAUAUUGAAACUGCAUGAGUUGUUUGUGUAUUUUAGAGAUUAAUCCCUUUCAAUCACAUAGUUUACAAAUAUCUAUAUGUUGUCUUUCCAUUUUGUUUAUGGUUUCCUUUGCUAUAAAAGAUUUUAAGUUUAAUUAUCUCAUUUGUUUAUUUUUGCUUUCAUUUUCAUAUAACUUAUGUUCUUCUUGAAGCUUGAUUUUAUUGCUGCUUUCUUAAUUUUCUUCUGUUAUCAUUUAGUAAUUAGGCAUAUAUAUUCAAGGCCAUUUUAAGUACAUUCAUGAUCACAGUAAUAGAUACUUCAUUGUCAAAAUAUAGUCAUAAUUGAAAAACAAAAUAGAUCAUUUGGAUGUUCUAGGGAAUAGGAAAGUUUUGACCACCCAUCAUAUCACUUACUUUUCAGAAAAUUAAAAAAAAAAAUACUACAUCACAAAAUAAAAUACCCUGGGGUUAUUAUGCUUAGUGAGAUAAGUCAGACAAAGAAAGACAAAUACUGCAUGUUUUCACUGAUACAGAGAAUCUAAAAGAUGAAACAAAUGAACAAAUACAACCAAAUAGAAAUAGACUCACACAUAAAGAGAACAAACUAGGGAUUACCAGAGGAGAGAGGGGUAGGGAUAGAGACAAAAUAGGUGAAUGGGAUUAGGAAGUACAAAUUUCUAGUUAUGAAAUAGGUGAGUUAUAAGGAUGUAAUGUACAACACAGAGAAUAUAGUCAAUAUUUUAUACUAACUGUAAUGUGUGAUAUAUAAAAAAUAUUGAAUUAUUUUGUACACUUGAAACUAAUUUUAUAUUGUACAUCAGUGAUAUUUCAAUUAGAGAGAAAACACACACA